rnacentral:rRNA from 1 species
CAGCCGCCGCGGGAAUACGAAGGGUGCAAGCGUUAAUCGGAAUUACUGGGCGUAAAGCGUGCGCAGGCGGUUGUAUAAGACAGGUGUGAAAUCCCCGGGCUUAACCUGGGAACUGCGCUUGUGACUGCACAGCUAGAGUAUGGCAGAGGGGGGUGGAAUUCCACGUGUAGCAGUGAAAUGCGUAGAGAUGUGGAGGAACACCGAUGGCGAAGGCAGCCCCCUGGGCCAAUACUGACGCUCAUGCACGAAAGCGUGGGGAGCAAACAGGAUUAGAUACCCCGGUAGUCCCUGUCUCUUACAC